rnacentral:rRNA from 1 species
CCUACGGGCGGCAGCAGUGGGGAAUAUUGCUCAAUGGGGGAAACCCUGAUGCAGCGACGCCGCGUGAGUGAAGACGUACCUAGGUAUGUUAAGCUCUAUCAGCCGGGAAGAAGAAAGCCGGUACCUGACUAAGAAGACCCGGCUAACUACGUGCCAGCAGCCGCGGUAAUACGUAGGGGGCAAGCGUUAACCGGAGUUACUGGGUGUAAAGGGAGCGUAGACGGCUGUGCAAGUCUGAAGUGAAAGCCCAGGGCUCAACCCUGGGACUGCUUUGGAAACUGUGGGGCUAGAGUGCUGGAGAGGUAAGUGGAAUUCCUGGUGUAGCGGUGAAAUGCAUAGAUAGUGGGAGGAACACCAGUGGCGAAGGCGGCUUACUGGAUAGUAACUGACGUUGAGGCUCGAAAGCGUGGGGAGCGAACAGGAUUAGAUACCCCUGUAGUC